rnacentral:lncRNA from 1 species
ACAGACCUGUAACGCGUAAUGAAAUAGUGAAGGAACGUUGCAAUUUCAACUGUUCCCACUUCCUUCCCUGGGCACAUGCGGGCACCUCCUCCAAACAACAUGAAGUGUGGAUGUGAUUCGAGGUUCGUCUCCUAUUGUCAGGAAGCAUUGUCAGGUUAGAAUUUUGUGACUAUUUAUUAUCUGAGAUGUUUGCUUGUUCUAUUCCUUACCAGCCAUCUCCAUGGGUUGAAAACCAUCGGUUCCGGGUACAGGAAUGGAUCAUAAUUUAUCUCCCUUGUGUAGACAUAAAUUCUCCAGCCCUUUGGAAUAACAUACCCUGAAAUAAAUACAUAAUAUUGCAUUAGAACUAGCUUGAGUUUUGUAUAAACUUCCUUUCAGUAGCAAAAGUAUGGAUCCUGUAGGAUUCUCACCAUUCAUUUCUACAUCCUGGGUAGUUUUCCUCAGCAGCCCAUUGACAACUGUAGCUAGUCUUAGAGUCUCAUAAAUGACCUGCAUAUUAGAAGAAUAAAUUAGUUUGUCGUGUCCAUAGUACAAUUCUACUCUGACUAAUUUCUGGGUGUAUCAUCUCCAACUUACAGCUUUGGUGAAGGUCAUUGACUUAUAAUCAUUCCAGUCAAGGGCAUCGUCUGGUGAUUUAGCCUUCCUUAUGUCAAGAUGCUCUUUCUGCAACAGCCAACAGAUCAUCCCUUAAGCUCA